UACGUAGGGGGCAAGCGUUGUCCGGAUUUAUUGGGCGUAAAGAGCGUGUAGGCGGCCAGGUAGGUCUGCUGUGAAAACUCGAGGCUUAACCUCGAGAUGUCGGCGGAAACCAUCUGGCUAGAGUCCGGAAGAGGAGAAUGGAAUUCCCGGUGGUAGCGGUGAAAUGCGCAGAUAUCGGGAAGAACACCCGUGGCGAAGGCGGUUCUCUGGGACGGUACUGACGCUGAGACG
rnacentral:rRNA from 1 species